rnacentral:rRNA from 1 species
AUUGAACGCUGGCGGCAGGCCUAACACAUGCAAGUCGAACGAGUGGCGGACGGGUGAGUACUGUCUGGGAAACUGCCUGAUGGAGGGGGAUAACUACUGGAAACGGUAGCUAAUACCGCAUACCAUCAGAUGUGCCCAGAUGGGAUUAGCUAGUUGGCGGGGUAACGGCUCACAAAGGCGACGAUCCCUAGCUGGUCUGAGAGGAUGACCAUCCAGGCGGGAACUGAGACACGGGCCAGACUCCUACGCGAGGCAGAAGUGGGGAAUAUUGAACAAUGGGCGCAAGCCUGAUGCAGCCAUGACGCGUGUAUGAAGAAGGCGUUCGGGUUGUAGAGUACUUUCAGCGGGGAGGCGUUACCCGCAGAAUAAGCACCGGCUAACUCCGUGCCAGCAGCCGCGGUAAUUC